GUAAUUGCUGCGGGGAGGACAGGCCAGCUCUGGAAGAAAACAGGUGGACCUGGGUCCCAUUAACCUGGACAGACACCUCCAAGAUGAGCAUGAGGGGGCUGCUGGAUCUGUUCUCCUUUCACAGCUGUAUCCUGAAGAAUGGCAGUGAGCCGGAAGAGCCACAGGAUUCGGCAAAGACGGACACACAGAAAUGGGUUCUCACUACGUUGCCCAGGCUGGUCUGGAACUCCUAGACUCAAGCGAUCCUCCCACCUCAGCCUCCCAAAGCACUGGGAUUACAGACAUGAGCCACCGCACCCGGUCAGGUGCAGCCGUUGGGGACUGCAAAGCUGUUGAUGCAGAAGGCCUAGUGCCUGGGGAUGCCCACAUUGCUGGUGUCUGCCACAUUCAGGAUGCCUGAGGUCCGGGAGCCAGGAAGGGUGAAGUAGUCCCUCUGUCGGCCGCUGUUGAAGCCUGCCUGGGGGUGUCAUUUGGAACAGGGUCAGCCCACCUGCGUCCUCACCCUCCCCAAGGACCCAGGGAGGCCCCUGUGGGUUCCCCACUCACCUGGGCCGCAAUGCCCCCCAGGCCGUGGUGGGGGCUCCCACCGCUGGCCACCCCCAUGGUCCACUGGAUGUCCUUGUGGUGAAACAGCACCCAGGAGGGGCCGCUGCCCAGGGCCAGCACCUCCUGGAAGGUGUUCACCUGCAGGGCAAGCGCCAGGAGCCAGGGUGUCGUGGGCUGGUCCAGGGGCACCCAGGACCCUCCUCACUGCCCAGUCCUCAACCGAGCUCCAUCUGCACCACUAAGCUGGCUGCUUCCAGCUGUGCCACCUCCUGGGCCCCCAUCCACACCACAUCCCGGGCCCCUACCCAUGCCACAUCCCAGACCCCCAUCCACGCCACCUCCCAGGCCCCUGUCCACACCAUGUCCACAGCUGCCUCUGCUGGCACCUGUGCCAGCCUUCCUUUCACAUCCCCCAGUCUCGAUUUUUCUGCUCUGCUCUCAUCCCCUCUCUCUCUCCGUCUCUCUCCUUUUCCUAUUCUCUGUCUCUCCAUCUGAUCAUCUCACUCCUCUCGCUUGCUGUCUUGCCUCCUCUCUCUCGCCAUUUCUCUCCCUGUUCGUGUCUUCCCUCUUUCUCACCCAUUUUCUCUACCUCGCUGCAUCUCCAUGCUUCCGUCUCUCUGUCUCUCUCUUCCCGCCCCCUCUAUCUCUCCCUCGUUCCCCCAUCUCCGUCUCUCCUCCGUGGUGUCUCCUCCUUACCCAGGAAUCCAAGCCCUUCUUCCCAAGGGGUUGGGCCAAACAGCCUCAGCCUGGGCCCUUCUCUGCCACCCGCUUCCUCACCUGGGGACCAAGUGCCCCGUAAAAUGGAAUUUGGUCCCACAUGGCCACCAGCAGGGCGCAAGGGGUGGGCGGGGCAUGGGGGAAGGCUGAGGCCAGGUCUCAGGCCACCUGCUGCGGCAGCUCUGGCUGGCGGCUCUGCCGGUACCACAUCUGGCCCCUGCUCAGUGUGGACCCAUUGGCCCAGAACGGGACUGCGAAGGCCUGGCCCAUCUCCUGGGGAAAUGCCUCCAGUGUGAAGAGAGCCACAGGCUCCCCGAAGGACACCAGCCCAUUGGUGCAGAACUGGGGGAAGUGAGGAAGGGCAAGACCCGCAGGGGGGUGUUGGCAGGGCAGGGGACAGAAGAGGGACAGGGCCCGCCCCAGGAAGACAGAGGACGAAGCCAGAAGGAGCCAGGAGCUAUAGAUAUAGACAGGCUCCGAGUCAAGAGUGGGGUGGGGAGAAGAGAGAGAGCCCAGGGACCGCACGGUCAGGGCCAGGGCACUCACAUAGGCCGUCCCGUGUGUGGCUUCAAAGAGCAUGAAGGGCUCCAGCAGCCGCAGCUCCUCAGAGAAGUCAUCAUCCUCUGCAGGGAGGGCCUGAUCCCCACACUCCAGCCCAUAGGGGUACAGGAGCGAGGCUGGGGACACGAGACCACUGAGGCUCCCCUCAGAGCCCCAGGGCAGGGCUGUGUCCCCUCAGUCCCCAAGAGAAAGCUCCAGGUCCCCUGAGGGACUCCAGGGUGGGGCCAUGGCUCCUCAGACCCCUGGAGCCCUCCCUGCCUGUCCACAUGGCCCUGUCCUCUCUCCAGGUUAGGGAGCACAUCCAUUCUCACCUCUGAUCUCCUUGCUCCAAGUCACUUGGUUCUGUAGGACUGAGGGGAAGGAUGUCAGCUAAGGGCUGGGGCCCACGUGGCACAGUCGACCCCCUUCCAGAGUCCCCACUCCUACUCACCCACCAGCAGAAGCCACAGUAUCCCCAUGGUGGCUGCAGGUGCUGCGGGCCAGGCGGGCUUAUACCAGGGCAGAGGUGGGGCCAGGGUGGGGACGGGGCAGCUGGAGCUCACCUUCCAUUGUUCGAGGGUCCAGGGGGCCUGGGGGUCUCCCAGGGAUCCUGGUUCCCAUCCGGUCUGCCUGAGGCUGGGCCAGGUCUGGGGUUGGUGGGCAGGGCAAGGGAGGAAAGAGGGGAUGGAAAUCUUCCAGGGCUUUCCCAGGGGGCCGGGUUGCCAGACCCUGGAGGAACCCCCCACCCAUUAGCAGGGCUGGGCACAAGUCAAGCGAUCCACAGUGGGAAAGUUGAGCCACUGCUUGGUGAAGGGCCGCUGCUGACAGACAGCUGAACAUGCAGGGAGCCUCUUCCCAUGGGGCCCUGCUGGUUCUCUUGGAGCAGGUUAGAGAUGAGCACACAGCAUCCAGGAACGGAGUGCAUGUGCAUCAAGCAGGGCCAAGAUGUGUGGCUGGGGAGACUCGUGGGCUGCUGGCCAGCCCCGGGGGCCCAGGGGUGGGCAUCUGCAGGGCAUGGCUGGGGCUGCCAUGGUGGAUAGUCAAGGUCAGGCAUUUAGGAGUGUUACUGGACCCAGAAGGGGAGAUUCGCCUGGAGACGUGAACGGGGAGACGGGGAGGAGGAGCAUACAGGCAAGGGGGCUCGUUACUGUGCACCUGUGAGAUUCACGGACCACCCUGGUGGAGGAGGCUCAGAGUUAGGCACUGGGGACUCCAUCUUCAAAGCAGUGUCCCAAAGGGGUGCUCCAGACCCUCAAACCCCAGACAGCCCUUUACCUGGUCAAACCACAUGGGACAGAGGGUCACCUGUGUUCCUGGACCAAACUGAGGAUUAGGCUGCUAUUUCUCAUGGCCCAGUGAUGAGAUGCAGAUAAACUGGGAGAACAGGGAGGUUUUUUUUGUUUUUGUUUUUGUUUUUGUUUUUGUUUUUUGAGACGGAGUCUCGCCCUAUCGCCCAGGCUGGAGUGCAAUGGCACUGUCUCGGCUCACGGCAACCUCUGCCUCCCGGGUUCAAGCAAUUCUCCUGCCUCAGCCUCCCAAGUAGUUGGGAUUACCAACACCCACCACCAUGCCUGGCUAAUUUUUGUAUUAUUAGUAGAGACGGGGUUUCUCCAUGUUGGUCAGGCUUGUCUCGAAUUCCUGACCUCAGGUGAUCCGCCUACCUCGGCCUCCCAAAGUGCUGGGAUUACAGGCAUGAGCCACCGCACCCAGCGAAAAGGGAGUUUUUAUUUCUGUAACUGGUUAUAGGGUGAAAGCCUGGAAAUUGUCCCCAGACCAACUCAAAAUUACAAAGUUUUCCAGAGCUUAUAUACCUUCUAAGCUAUAUGCCUGUGUGUAAGUGUAGUUUCUUCAGACCCCCAAUUAAACUUGUUUAAUCCU